rnacentral:rRNA from 1 species
CCUACGGGGAGCAGCAGUGAGGAAUAUUGGUCAAUGGGCGUAAGCCUGAACCAGCCAAGUCGCGUGAGGGAUGAAGGUUCUAUGGAUCGUAAACCUCUUUUAUAAGGGAAUAAAGUGUGGGACGUGUCCUGUUUUGUAUGUACCUUAUGAAUAAGGAUCGGCGAACUCCGUGCCAGCAGCCGCGGUAAUACGGAGGAGCCGAGCGUUAUCCGGAUUUAUUGGGUUUAAAGGGUGCGUAGGCGGCCUUUUAAGUCAGCGGUGAAAGUAUGUGGCUCAACCAUAGAAUUGCCGUUGAAACUGGGAGGCUUGAGUAUGUUUGAGGCAGGCGGAAUGCGUGGUGUAGCGGUGAAAUGCUUAGAGAUCACGCAGAACCCCGAUUGCGAAGGCAGCCUGCCAAGCCAUGACUGACGCUGAUGCACGAAAGCGUGGGGAUCAAACAGGAUUAGAUACCCCAGUAGUC